CCUACCUUUCAGUGACUGCUAGGUCUGUAGAUCAGCACCGGGAUGGCGACAUCCAGACCUAGACCGCCUUUGGGUGGGGAGCGCGGUGGAGGCUGGAGCAUAGGCUAGCAAUACCUGGCGUCAGUGGGGCCCUGGUCCUAUGGACCAGGUGUGCUGGUGUCUUCUGGAGAUCGGGUGCCCAUCCCUUGAGAUCUUGUUUGUCGUCCUCAUUGCCCCUGAGGACAAUGUUCAGUGCCAGGCUCCCCUUGUAAAUUCUGAAGGUGAGAGAUGCCGCGAAGUUUCCAGAGAUAUGGACCCUGCGGAAAUACUGGUAAUACGUGUUUUCCCAGCGACUGAAUGAAUGGUAGGCCUGGGGACUGACACGAGGGUGUGGAAUUAUAAAUCUAGGCUCAAUUCCCGCUCCAUUCUGGCUUAGAACCCGCAGUAGAAGGUGGUGUCCUUCAACUCAUUUUUUCACUGAAGUGGGAAGAAAGGUGAUAAGGCUUUCAAGUGGUGACAUCUCUUCUUUACAUUAAAAAAAAAAAGCAUUUUUAAAGCCAAAUUUCACUCUCUGCUUCCUUGUCACCAUUCCCAGCUUCCCAUCCUGAACGCACCCUCUCUAGCAGCCAUCUCACUUUCUCUCUCAGGUAUGGUAAUUCCUCAGAUAGCAUUAAAGAUCCAGAAGUCAUCAGCUUCAUAGGCCUGGUCAGUCAGAAUAUUUGAAUUAAAAUCAGAUAUUUAAGUUAUAAAAGAGAGUUACACUAGUCAUACUUCCUGAAAAGUUUUGAAAAUGGGGGCCAGAUCUUUGUAGUCUGACAUUCUGGGGUGGGGGUUAGGGUAAAUGUUUGUGGAUUGAUUACAUGGGAGGUUCUUUUUUUUUCCCCCCAAUAUUUAUUUUUUAGUUGUAGUUGGACACAACACCUUUAUUUCACUUGUUUAUUUUUGUAUGUGGUGCUGAGGAUUGAACCCAGGGUCUCCCUGUGCCAGGCGGGGCCUGUACCCCUGAGCUACAACUCCAGCCCACAUGGGAGGUUCUUAACGUGGAAUAUGGAAUAUGUGGUUUAGUUUCACCACUAUUGUUGGCCCUUCCUAUCUUCAGGUUGCAUAUCUGUAGAUUCAAACAAGUGUGGAUUGAAAAUAUGCUGGAGAUAAAUGUGCCUGAGACUAGUGGGAUAUCUCAGUUGGUAGCACUCUUGCAUAGCAGGAGUCCUUGGAUUCAGCCUCUGGCAGUACACACAGACACAGACGCACACACACAUAUACACAGGAAAAAGAAAAGAAAAAAAAUUUGUCUGUAUUGAACAUUAAAAGAACUUUUCUUUUGAUGGAGAAGCCUUGAACUGAGAAACUCACACAUGCUAGGCAAGUGCUGUACUAUCACUAAGCUACAUCCUCAGCUCUUUUUAAAUUUCAGGUUGAAAACAGUAUCUAACUAAAUUGCCAUCUGGCCUUGAACUUGAAGUCCUCUAUCAGUCUCCCAAGUAGCUGGGAUGAUAGGUGUUUGCCUCCAGUUUACCUUCUAUGCUACUUUUAUGAUUCUUUCUAAAAACAUAGAGCUCUUAUCUGAAUAGCUCCUUGGAUGUCAGACCUGACAAGUUUCCUCCUUUGUCAUGUGCCCUUGCACCAAACCAGAACAAAUAAUUAUCAGAAAAGAACAAUACAUAUGUAUAUAUAUGCAUUAAAAUUGUGUUCAAUUAUUCAGGGAAGGGUUAACUGAUUAGGUAUGCAUCUGCUUUCUCAUUAUGCUAGAGCCUUUAUAAUAUAAUUACCUCAAAAUCUUAUAGGGGUUAGAGGUUUUAAGGGUCUGUCUCAGCCCAUUGUCCCUAAUUUCUUGUUCUAUCAUCAGACACUGCCUAAAAUCUCUCUCUCUUCCUGAUGUUCACAGCAGAUAUUGCAUAACCUCUAAUUGUUACUGAAACACAUGGCUUAAAUAGUUACUUCAGAAAUAGGAAAGAUUUGCUUAUUAAAAAAAAAGUGAAUUCCCAGGAGCAGGAGCUUAGUAUGUUUCAUGGAUCUCAGGUAAUAAUGAUUUAGUCAUUCAUUUAUGUAUUGAUUUUAGAAAUAUUUUCUGCUAGGCGUGAUGGCUCAUGUAAUCCUGGCAGCUGUGAAGACUGAGGCAGCAGGAUCACAAGUUCAAAGCCAGCUUCAGCAACUUUGCAAGGCCCUGAGCAACUCAGGGAGACCCUGUUUCAAAGUAAAACAUAAGAAGGGCUGGGAUGUGGGGCAGUGCUUAAGUGCCCCUGGGUUCAAGUUUCAAUUCCUAGUACCCCCCAACCCCAAAAAAGAAAAAAAUAAACAAAGAAAGAAAUAUUUUUAAGACUACACAUAUGGCAGGUACUGUUGAAAUAGUGAACUGUGAACAAAAUUCCUGUUCUUUUGUGGUUUAUCUUUUUGCCUAAUAAACUAAUUAUUGGUUUGGGGUAAAACUUAUUUAUUUAUUUAUUUUGUGCUAAGGAUGAAACCCAAGGCCUUGUUCAUGCUAAAUGCUAGGCAAGCCCUGUACCACUGACCUAUUCUCCUAGUUCAGGCAGAGAAGGGGCACUUUUGCAGAUUACCAGCAGUUAGCUGAUAUUUUAAGCCAUGUGAGUAAAUAAGUUUACCUGGGCUAAUGAUUGGAAUAAGAAUGGAAGAGGGCUUAAGACUAAGUAGAAACCCUCAUAUGUGUAGGAGAGUUUUCAGGUGGGGACAGAGGUUGAGGGAUCCAAGAGUGCUGGGUCAGGGAAGCCCAGGAGGGGGAGAAGAAGGAAGAUGUAGGGCUCCACCAUGUCUCUUGCUAUAAUUGAAAAAUAUGUGGUCAGAUAAAUAUCUAGUAAAUACAUUCAGGUCAUUGGUGUCUUUUGUUAGUGUAGUGAGGCAGAGUAGGCCUAGGAGUACAAAGCAGAGCAUACUUGGUAAACUUUGUGACUUUUUCAAGGAGAUCUUUUUUUUUUUAAUGUGGUGCUGAGGAUCGAACCUGGGUCCCGCGCGUGCUAGGUGAGCAUUCUGCCGCUGAGCCACAAUCCCAGCCCCAAGGAGAUCUUAGAGUUAAAUAUCAACAGUAGUUACCGCUUAAAUACAGGAUUUUGAUUUUUUUUUUGUUCCUGUUGGCUCUUCAGAGUAUUCCUAGAAUGUGACCUCUUCUUACCACCUUUACUGCAGCUCCUUGGUCUGAACUUCCGUUAUCUCUCAAAUUGAUUACCGAAUUGCCUUCUACUGGUCUUUCUAUGAUAAUCCUUGUCCCCUACAGUUUGCUGUUAACACAGCAGUCAGCAUGAUAGGUAAGACCAUGUCAGCUCAUGCUACUCCUCCAUUUACAACCCUUUACUGGCUCACGUACUCACUCUUAUCUUCUUUCUGCUGUUAUUUCACAUAUCUGACUUCUGUUACUAUCUCUUUUCUUUCCUGUGGUCCAGUCAUGUUGUCCUCCUUGCCAUUCCUCCAACACAUCAGACAAGGUCCUGCCUUAGGAGAAGCACUGACUGUUGCCUUUGCUAUGUAUUCUUCUAUUAGAGACCAACUUAGCAAACUCAAAUCUUUGUUUAAAUCUUGUCUUCUGGGGCUAGGGGCAGUAACUCAGUGGUAGAGUACGUACUUUGCAUAUGUGAGGCCCAGAUUUCAAUCCCCAACAUCCUCCAUCAUCCAGAAAAAAAAAAAAUUGUCUUUUCAUUGAACUUGUGUUGAUUUCUGUAUUUAAAACAGCAACCCAGGGGCUGGAGUUGUGGCUGAGUGGAAUAGCACUUGCCUAGCAUGUGUGAGGCACUGGGUUCUAUCCUCAGCACCACAUAUAAAUAAAUGAGUAAAAAAGGUCCAUCAACAUUUAAAAUAAAUAAAUAGCAACCCAAUCCCACCAGGUUGGGAGGCUGAGGCAAGAGUAUCGCAAAUUUAGUCAGCCUCAGUGAACUAAUGAUGCCCUAAACAGGUAGAGAGAGAAGAUGGGAGGGGAGGGGAGGGGGGAUAGUAGAGGAUAGGAAAGAUAGCAGAGUACAACAGUCACUAGUAUGGCAAUAUGUAAAAACGUGGAUAUGUAACCGAUGUGAUUCUGCAAUCUGUAUACGGGGUAAAAAUGGGAGUUCAUAACCCACUUGAAUCAAAUGUAUGAAAUAUGAUAUGUCAAGAGCUUUGUAAUGUUUUGAACAACCAAUUAAAAAAAAAUGAUGCUCUAAACAACUUAGUGAGACUUUGUCUCAAAAUGAAAAAUAGAAAGGGGCUGAGGGUGUAGCUCAGUGAUUAAGUAUUUCUGGUACAAUCCUCAGCAAAUAAAUAAAUAAAUAAACAAAUAAAUAAAUAAAUAAAUAAAUAAAUAAAUUUGCAACCCAGCCAAGACUGGUGGCAAGUGCUUGCAGUCCCUAGUACUUGGGAGGCUAAGGCAGGAGAAUCACUUGAGUCAGGAGUUGGAGACCAGUCUGGAUCAUAUAAUGAGACCUUGUGUCAAAACAAAAACAAAGAAACAAGCUAAAAAACUAAAAAUAAGUUUGCUGCACUUUAAGAAAAGCAAUGUUUGCAAUCCAGUCUCUGCUCCUUUCUCUUCCAGGGCCCAGCCAGUUUCCGAAUCUGUCUUGUAAUUAUUUGCUUACUUGUUAUGCUUUGUGACUUUUGCCUGUGUUCCUCCAGUAGCAUGAAAACUCUGCUGAGCAAGAAUUUUUGUCUGUUUUGUGUUCUAAUGUAUUCCAAGAGACUAGGAGAGUGCCUGGCAGAGAUUAAGCACUUAAUGAAUAGUGGUUCGAUGAAUGACUGAACAUGCAUAUUUUAUAAGAUCAGACAAAAGGAACGCAAAUGACUGUGGGUUGGAAGGAAAAAGGAAAACCUGUCCUUGCUAAGAGAAGGGACUGUUUCCACUUGAAUUUCUGACCCUUAUUUUCCUGUUCUUCAGGUGAAACAGAGGAGGAAUGAUUGUGAAUAGUGUCUCUCUGUGCUACCACAACAAAUUCAUCUUAGCCCCUAUGGUUCGGGUUGGCACUCUCCCAAUGCGGCUGCUGGCCCUGGAUUAUGGAGCUGACAUUGUUUACUGUGAGGUAA
rnacentral:lncRNA from 1 species